rnacentral:rRNA from 1 species
AACGCGAAGAACCUUACCUGGGCUCGAAAUGUAGUGGAAUCGGGUGGAAACAUCCGCGUCUCGCAAGAGACUGCUAUAUAGGUGCUGCAUGGCUGUCGUCAGCUCGUGUCGUGAGAUGUUGGGUUAAGUCCCGCAACGAGCGCAACCCUUAUCCCUAGUUGCCAUCGGGUCAAGCCGGGCACUCUAGUGAAACCGCCCGGGAUAACCGGGAGGAAGGUGGGGAUGACGUCAAGUCCUCAUGGCCUUUAUGUCCAGGGCUACACACGUGCUACAAUGGUCGGUACAAACCGUCGCAAACCCGUGAGGGGGAGCUAAUCGGAAAAAGCCGGCCUCAGUUCGGAUUGGAGUCUGCAACCCGACUCCAUGAAGCUGGAAUCGCUAGUAAUCGCGGAUCAGAACGCCGCGGUGAAUACGUUCCCGGGCCUUGUA